rnacentral:rRNA from 1 species
CCUUUCGGGAACCAGGAGACAGGUGCUGCAUGGCUGUCGUCAGCUCGUGUCGUGAGAUGUUGGGUUAAGUCCCGCAACGAGCGCAACCCUUAUCUUUAAUUGCCAGCAUUCAGUUGGGCACUUUAAAGAGACUGCCGGUGUUAAACCGGAGGAAGGUGGGGGAUGACGUCAAGUCCUCAUGGCCUUUAUGUCCAGGGCUACACACGUGCUACAAUGGUUGCUACAAAGCGAUGCUACACCGCGAGGUCACGCAAAGCGCAAAAAGCAACCGUAGUUCGGAUUGAAGUCUGAAACCCGACUUCAUGAAGUUGGAAUCGCUAGUAAUCGCGCAUCAGCACGGCGCGGUGAAUACGUUCCCGGGCCUU